rnacentral:sRNA from 1 species
AGGCAGUACUUGGCAUUUCCAUUCUCA